GGCCACUGCUAUCGGGGUCCGACUAAGCCAUGCGAGUCAUGGGGCUCCCUUCGGGGAGCACCGGCGCACGGCUCAGUAACACGUGGCUAACCUACCCUCGGGUGGGGGAUAACCUCGGGAAACUGAGGCUAAUCCCCCAUAGGGGAGGAGGUCUGGAAUGAUCCCUCCCCGAAAGGCCUUUGGCCGCCCGAGGAUGGGGCUGCGGCGGAUUAGGUAGUUGGUGGGGUAACGGCCCACCAAGCCUACGAUCCGUACGGGCCCUGAGAGGGGGAGCCCGGAGAUGGACACUGAGACACGGGUCCAGGCCCUACGGGGCGCAGCAGGCGCGAAACCUCCGCAAUGCGCGAAAGCGCGACGGGGGGACCCCGAGUGCCCACGCUCUGCGUGGGCUUUUCCGGAGUGUAAACAGCUCCGGGAAUAAGGGCUGGGCAAGUCCGGUGCCAGCAGCCGCGGUAAUACCGGCGGCCCGAGUGGUGGCCACUGUUAUUGGGCCUAAAGCGUCCGUAGCCGGCCCGGUAAGUCUCUGCUUAAAUCCUGCGGCUCAACCGCAGGGCUGGCAGAGAUACUGCCGGGCUUGGGACCGGGAGAGGCCGGGGGUACCCCAGGGGUAGCGGUGAAAUGCGUUGAUCCCUGGGGGACCACCUGUGGCGAAGGCGCCCGGCUGGAACGGGUCCGACGGUGAGGGACGAAGGCCGGGGGAGCAAACCGGAUUAGAUACCCGGGUAGUCCCGGCUGUAAACUCUGCGGACUAGGUGUCGCGUCGGCUUCGGGCCGACGCGGUGCCGAAGGGAAGCCGUUAAGUCCGCCGCCUGGGGAGUACGGUCGCAAGACUGAAACUUAAAGGAAUUGGCGGGGGAGCACUACAACGGGUGGAGCCUGCGGUUUAAUUGGAUUCAACGCCGGGCAUCUUACCAGGGGCGACGGCAGGAUGAAGGCCAGGUUGACGACCUUGCCAGACGCGCCGAGAGGUGGUGCAUGGCCGUCGUCAGCUCGUACCGUGAGGCGUCCUGUUAAGUCAGGUAACGAGCGAGACCCGUGCCCCAUGUUGCUACCCUCUCCUCCGGGAGAGGGGCACUCAUGGGGGACCGCCGGCGCUAAGCCGGAGGAAGGUGCGGGCAACGACAGGUCCGCAUGCCCCGAAUCCCCUGGGCUACACGCGGGCUACAAUGGCCGGGACAAUGGGACGCGACCCCGAAAGGGGGAGCGAAUCCCCUAAACCCGGUCGUAGUCCGGAUCGAGGGCUGUAACUCGCCCUCGUGAAGCCGGAAUCCGUAGUAAUCGCGCCUCACCAUGGCGCGGUGAAUGCGUCCCUGCUCCUUGCACACACCGCCCGUCACGCCACCCGAGUUGAGCCCAAGUGAGGCCCUGUCCGCAAGGGCAGGGUCGAACUUGGGUUCAGCAGCGGGGGUG
rnacentral:rRNA from 1 species